CACACACCUCACACACCCUGCAUCAGUACAACACACACCUAAACUGUAAUCAACAGGUUCUCUACCUCCUAUGGACAGAAACUAUAAUCAACAGGUUCUCUACCUCCUAUGGACAGAAACUGUAAUCAACAGGUUCUCUACCUCCUAUGGACAGAAACUAUAAUCAACAGGUUCUCUACCUCCUAUGGACAGAAACUAUAAUCAACAGGUUCUCUACCUCCUAUGGACAGAAACUAUAAUCAACAGGUUCUGUACCUCCUAUGGACAGAAACUAUAAUCAACAGGUUCUCUACCUCCUAUGGACAGACACUAUAAUCAACAGGUUCUCUACCUCCUAUGGACAGACACUAUAAUCAACAGGUUCUCUACCUCCUAUGGACAGACACUGUAAUCAACAGGUUCUCUACCUCCUAUGGACAGAAACUAUAAUCAACAGGUUCUCUACCUCCUAUGGACAGAAACUAUAAUCAACAGGUUCUGUACCUCCUAUGGACAGAAACUAUAAUCAACAGGUUCUCUACCUCCUAUGGACAGACACUAUAAUCAACAGGUUCUCUACCUCCUAUGGACAGACACUAUAAUCAACAGGUUCUGUACCUCCUAUGGACAGACACUAUAAUCAACAGGUUCUGUACCUCCUAUGGACAGACACUAUAAUCAACAGGUUCUGUACCUCCUAUGGACAGACACUAUAAUCAACAGGUUCUGUACCUCCUAUGGACAGACACUAUAAUCAACAGGUUCUGUACCUCCUAUGGACAGAAACUGAUGGGAUUAGACUGGGUCGUUGCUGUCAGUAGCAGUGUGGGUAUAUUUGAGAUAUUUAGUCGGAGGUUAAUCAUUAACUGUCCUUGGAGCUGAACCUUCCUCCUGGUCCCACUGUGUUCAGAACGGUCUCUGAUGUCACCCCAUCUCCUGAAAAACACAAUGGUGCUGUCUGUGUGUGUGUGUGUGUGUCUCUCUGCGUGUAUCUCUCUGUGUGUGUGUCUUUGUCUCUCUGCGUGUAUCUGCGUGUGUGUGUGUUUGUGUGUGUGUGUGUUUUGUGUGUGUGUG